UGGUAGCAGCCGUCCUAUUUUAGGGCCCUUAUUUUGACGGGGGGGUAUGUUCCUGCUGACUUGGGGUUCUUUCUCUCCCUGGCAUUUCCGUUUCCGUUCCCAUUCCUAUCCAGUUUAAUUUAGAGUGGGGCUGGUGUUGUUGGCGUGCGGCAAGCGGUGGCAGAGUUCGCUUGCAGCGACGAAGGCAAGUUGAAUGCUGGCCGGUAGACUGAGUUGCGGCACCGGUAGUGAGUAGCCAUACAGCGGUGCGUCUGGUGUUGGUUCAACAACUCGUAAAGGGGACAUAUCAAGAUUUCCAAGCCCUGUUCCUAGCCAAGGACUUCCUGCGAUGUCGCUGCUGUUUUGCUCAGGGAUAUUUUCUGGUUUUAUUUGAUCGUGUCGCGGACGGUCAUUUGUGUGGUUAAUGGGUUUGCGGCUCCGCGAGUCGUUGGGGGCUGUAACGUUAACUUCUGGGCAUUGUGUCCGCCAGGUUUUCUAUUAGUUUAAUUUCUUUGAUUUAAUUUCCUUUGUCAACAGAGUAAUUUGUUGCUAUAUUUGUUUGAUUAGUUUGGUGGCUAUUUUGUUUCUUUUGUAUUUGGGUUGCUUUAUUUUGUAGCUAUAUCUGUAGUAUUCAUUUGUUUUAUUUUUCUGGUUAUGUAUUUACUGUAAAGUGUUUCUUUAUUCAUGGAUUCAGUUUUCUAGUGCCAUUUAGGUGCUGGUUAUCUGUCUGUUUUGUACGUGUGUCAUCUGGAGGCCCGAGUGUCGAAGCUGCUACAACACAGUGUCUGUAAAAUUAGGUGUUUGUCUUUACUUAUAAUAUUUCAUAUGAUGUCUGUUUGAAUUUCGUUAUAAGUGUUUUUCUGUCUAGGGGCCAGUGAGGACUUGUGUGGAACAGGGUAGGCUAGCUGCUUUAUUCGGCGGUGUUUCACGGUGUGCUGUGGGUGCUCUGAUAUAACUUCCCUAGGACGGGUGUGUGUGGUAUCUGAUUUGCUGUGAACUGAGGUGGGUUUUGGACGACCUCCGGAGUUGCGGCCGGCCUGCCUUGUUCCCAUUAAUCCUGGCCCCGGAAGCUAUUCCUACCAUUGUGGGUGUGUUUCGUGAGAGAAUUUUAUUUGAUGCGGGUUAUUUUAUAAUAAAGUGUAUUUCUUGUAUCGAUACUCGCGUCUCCCUUGUCUCUUUGCCUUCAAUUGGUGAAAUUUACCUGUGUGUCCUUUUAUUGGGAAUUAUUUCCCUGGCCUCCCACCAGGGUGGCGUAGUCGGAUAAAUCUAAUUAUAUUAAUAUUUCCUUCCACUUGAUUCA